UAAGGAAUAUUGGUCAAUGGACGCAAGUCUGAACCAGCCAUGCCGCGUGGAGGAUUAAGGCCCUCUGGGUUGUAAACUCCUUUUAUCUGGGAAGAAAUGUACUUUUUCUUGAGUACUUGACGGUACCAGAGGAAUAAGCACCGGCUAACUCCGUGCCAGCAGCCGCGGUAAUACGGAGGGUGCAAGCGUUAUCCGGAUUCACUGGGUUUAAAGGGUGCGUAGGUGGGCAGGUAAGUCAGUGGUGAAAUCUCCGGGCUUAACCCGGAAACUGCCGUUGAUACUAUUUGUCUUGAAUAUUGUGGAGGUAAGCGGAAUAUGUCAUGUAGCGGUGAAAUGCUUAGAUAUGACAUAGAACACCAAUUGCGAAGGCAGCUUACUACACAAUGAUUGACGCUGAGGCACGAAAGCGUGGGGAUCAAACAGGAUUAGAUACCCUGGUAGUCCACGCCCUAAACGAUGAUUACUCGACAUACGCGAUACACUGUGUGUGUCUGAGCGAAAGCAUUAAGUAAUCCACCUGGGAAGUACGUUCGCAAGAAUGA
rnacentral:rRNA from 1 species